GGAGGCGGACGCUACCUGUGUGGCACGAUGGGGACUGUGUCUCUCACGGCUCCUCACCUCCCUUGCGCUGGAAGCGUCAAGACCGCAGGAUCCUCCGGCAGAGAAACCGGAGAUAGCACGCGGCCGCCCAAAGAGGGCAGUAGAGCUCUCACCCCGGAAUAAUCGCGAUCAACUUAGUUCCAACACUAAACUCGGGAGCCUGGGAGUCGCCCUUUGUAAACACAGGUUGUACGCGGGCAGAGAGCCAUUAAGAGCUCCUCUGUCUCCCACCAAACAUACCCGGGGGGGGGCAGAGAGCGACCGCAGCUGCGGGCUCAGGACCCCGUCGGCGUCCCCACGGUUCGGUGCCGCCGGAUCCGCCCGUGCCCGGCUGCCGGGAGGCUGAGGCAGUGUCCGUGGUGCUGGCCCCUCUCCGUCCGUCCGCACCGCCCAGCCGGGCCGUCAGCGCUGCACCAGCGCCCGGGAGCUCGCGCGAUGGUGACCGAAGCCCCGGACAUGCGAGCGUCUCCGCCCCACUCUGCUGGUGGAGGUGAUGAGCGGUGGCCCAGGUGUUAACGUGCGGGGAAAAUAAGGGCUGCGCAAAGCCUGGCCAUAGCCUACCAGCGGGCGGAGAGCGGCGCCCGCCUCGCAGUCGGUGCCGGUGCUCGUGCCUGGGCUCCGAUGGGCUCUGCGGACGCUCCUCCUCCGCUGGGGCUCGGUAGCGCAACGCUUUCUUGUUCACCGGCUUAAUUUGCUCAGUCUCCUGGGAAGCUCUCUCAGAUGCAAAGUACGCUGAAACCAAGAUAUGCAGAUAAAAUCAAUUUGACUAAACCUUAAUGAUGUUAAGGUGCUUGUUAGUACGGCAGGAGUUAACCCAACGAUGUUUCGAAAAUAUGUCUUCAGCAAACAGGAUUUUUGAAAAAAUACAGUUAAAGAACCUUAUGAGGUCGGUGCUUUGCAGUCAUAUUCCUGCCACAUUCCUGGUCAAACACCUCUGCAGAGGACAUCAGCUAUUCACUAGCUUCUGUCACUCCUCAGUUCUUCACUCCUCUCUUCACAAGAACUUUCUAGUAUCCUGGAAAACAAACAAACAAACAUGCAAAACAAGCACGCAGAUACAACCAUGGUUGAUACUGUACACCACGUCUUCCUUCUCCAGCCAUUUUCUUUUGAUUUUAGGGCAGAAACUGGAAAUGAAUGCACUCCAAACCCAUCCAUCAAUCCAAGCACAGUUUCUGCCAGCCAAAACUCUCCAAUCGCUUUCAGUACUCUUUUCACCCCUAGCCUCUCCCUGCUCGCUGGUUUCACCUUCUGUCAACACAAGCAUGCAGUGAUCACUCCGUAUGCAGAACAAAUUGCUGUUCUGCUUUUAUUCUUCUCUUCAACUACAUUAUCUUUAUGUUGAAAGCUUACCGUUAUUGUUCAAGGCUCUUCUUCUAAUUUUUAAUUUAAUGGCUUCCAGUUUGCCUUUUACUUCCUCACUGAGCAAAGUCUCUUUCUUGACCUUCUGUGCUACGUAGAUACUGUCAGAAAUACCCAUACUUAUACUGUUUCAUCUGCCAGCUUCACCUCUAGUAGGGGCUACAUGAAGAAGAAAUCAGGCUUUAGCCUCCCAUGAUGGACUUCAUCUCCGAGUUCCCUUCUGAGGCCCUGGGAACUUGCAUGGCAUCAGGGAGGUACUGUGGUUAUUCUUCAGCUCUCUGAUUUGGUGAGUAAGGAAGAUGCAUGCUGCUGGGCAGAAAGCACAUCUUCUGAACAUUUGCCGCUACCUGCUAUUGGAAAUCCACUUCUAUGGAUCAGCCACCUAUUUAACAACAAAUACAAGAUUUCGGUUGUUCAGCACACAGAGAAUCACAGAGGGCAUGGAGAGCUUCCUUAUGUGUCACUGGGGCCUUUUGCACACAGGCACCUAACAUAUUUGAUAUGACAGUAUCUGCAGCUUUUGCAAAUCCAUCCUCACCUGACUCUUUGCCUAAUCCAGUCUCAGUAUUUUCUUUUCUAUUUGAUAAUUUGGAUACAGUAGAGAUCCUGUGUCAUAUUCAGUGUAAAACAAGUAAAGCCCAUCCAAUCAUGAUUUAGCAACCGUGGAGCCUUCUUUACAGUGUAAGAUUUUUUUGUUGGGCUUUUCUUAUUAUUACUGUUCUUUUUAAAGUAGUAUUUUUUCAGGUUUAACAACGUGUUUGAUCUUGCAAAAGAUGACUGUGACUGAUGUCAUGUGGUCAAUUAAAAGGAUUUAUUCCUCUGUAGAUCACCUUCAUGUGUGUUGUAGAGCUCUAACUAGCCUCUUCUCAUUUUAUCUCUAGGCUACUACCCAGGCAGAUUAUUAGGUCUGAACUAAAGAUCACAUCUUCCAUAAUAAAUUCUCUUGAACCACUA